rnacentral:rRNA from 1 species
GUGAGUAGUUCAGAGUUUGAUCCUGGCUCAGGGCGAACGCUGGCGGCGUGCCUAACACAUGCAAGUCGAGCGGGGAAAGUUCUUCGGAACUUUUCUAGCGGCGGACGGGUGAGUAACGCGUGAGCAAUCUGUCCCAUACAGGGGGAUAACAACUGGAAACAGUUGCUAAUACCGCAUGAGACCACAGAGUCGCAUGGCUUAGGGGUCAAAGGAGCAAUCCGGUAUGGGGUGAGCUCGCGUCCGAUUAGAUAGUUGGUGAGGUAACGGCCCACCAAGUCAACGAUCGGUAGCCGACCUGAGAGGGUGAUCGGCCACAUUGGAACUGAGACACGGUCCAA